rnacentral:rRNA from 1 species
GACGAACGCUGGCGGCGUGCUUAACACAUGCAAGUCGAACGGAAAGGCCCUGCUUUUGUGGGGUGCUCGAGUGGCGAACGGGUGAGUAACACGUGAGUAACCUGCCCUUGACUUUGGGAUAACUUCAGGAAACUGGGGCUAAUACCGGAUAGGAGCUCCUGCUGCAUGGUGGGGGUUGGAAAGUUUCGGCGGUUGGGGAUGGACUCGCGGCUUAUCAGCUUGUUGGUGGGGUAGUGGCUUACCAAGGCUUUGACGGGUAGCCGGCCUGAGAGGGUGACCGGCCACAUUGGGACUGAGAUACGGCCCAGACUCUUACGGGAGGCAGCAGUGGGGAAUAUUGCACAAUGGGUGGAAGCCUGAUGCAGCAACGCCGCGUGCGGGAUGACGGCCUUCGGGUUGUAAACCGCUUUCGCCUGUGACGAAGCGUGAGUGACGGUAAUGGGUAAAGAAGCACCGGCUAACUACGUG